UACGUAGGGGGCAAGCGUUGUCCGGAAUCAUUGGGCGUAAAGAGCGCGUAGGCGGCCCUGUAAGUCCGCUGUGAAAGUCAAGGGCUCAACCCUUGAAUGCCGGUGGAUACUGCAGGGCUAGAGUCCGGAAGAGGCGAGUGGAAUUCCUGGUGUAGCGGUGAAAUGCGCAGAUAUCGGGAGGAACACCAGUGGCGAAGGCGACUACCUGGCCUGUUCUUGACGCUGAGGCGCGAAAGCUAGGGGAGCAAACGGG
rnacentral:rRNA from 1 species